rnacentral:tRNA from 1 species
AAAGGGUAGCUCAAUUGGAUAGAGCACAGUGCAGAAUGGCUUAUUGCUUUUAACCCUUCUUUUUGAAAAAAUUGAAAAUAAAAAAGGUGUCGUAAAUGAGUGUUACUUCAAUCCAAAGCUAAGGUCGCCGGUUCGAGUCCGGCCCCGU